AGCUAAAUAUUGGCGAGAGACCGAUAGCGAACAAGUACCGUGAGGGAAAGAUGAAAAGAACUUUGGAAAGAGAGUUAAACAGUACGUGAAAUUGUUGAAAGGGAAACGCUUGAAGUCAGUCGCGUUGGCUUGGAAUCAGCCUUGCUUUUGCUUGGUGUACUUCCUUGUUGACGGGUCAGCAUCAAUUUUGACCGGUGGAAAAAGGCCAGUUGAAUGUGGCAUCUUCGGAUGUGUUAUAGCUUCUGGUCAUAUACAUCGGUUGAAUUGAGGAACUCAGCACGCCGCAAGGUCGGGGUUCGCCACACGUUCGUGCUUAGGAUGCUGGCAUAAUGGCUUUAAUCGACCCGUCU
rnacentral:rRNA from 1 species